rnacentral:rRNA from 1 species
UACAUGUGGGGCAAGCGUUGUUCGGAAUUACUGGGCGUAAAGAGUGUGUAGGCGGUGUUCUAAGUUUGUCGUGAAAUCUCCCGGCUUAACUGGGAGGGUGCGGCGAAAACUGGAAUGCUAGAGGAUGGGAGAGGUAAGCGGAAUUCCUGGUGUAGCGGUGAAAUGCGUAGAUAUCAGGAGGAACACCUGUGGUGUAGACAGCUUACUGGACCAUUUCUGACGCUGAGACACGAAAGCGUGGGUAGCAAACAGG